rnacentral:rRNA from 1 species
GACGAACGCUGGCGGCGUGCUUAACACAUGCAAGUCGAACGGAAAGGCCCUGCUUUUGUGUGUUGCUCGAGUAGCGAACGGUUGCGUAACACGUGCGUAACCUGCCCUUGACUUUAGGAUAACUUCAGGAAACUUUGUCUAAUACCCGAUAGGACCUCCUGCUUCCUGGUGGUUGUUGGAAAGUUUCGGCCGUUCGGGUUGGACUCGCGAUUUCCCCGCUUGUUGGUGGGGUAGUGGCUUACUAAGGUCUUCACGGUUAGCCGGCUUGAGAGGGUGACCGACCACAUCGAGACUGAGAUAUGCCCCAGCUCCCUACGGGAGGCAGCAGUAGGGAAUAUUCAACAACGGGCGGAGGCCUGAUGCACGAAGCCAGCGUGCGGAAUGACGGCCGUCGGGUUGUAAACCGCUUUCGCAGGAGACAAAGCGUGAGUGACGGUAAUGGGUAAAGAAGCACCGGCUAACUACGUG